GGUUUGGACGUGGCAGAGGAAGAGGAGCGGGGAGGUUUUCAGCCCAAGGCAUGGGGACAUUUAACCCUGCAGACUAUACGGAGCCUUCUGCCACUGAUGGCUUUGGGA